UACGUAGGUGGCAAGCGUUGUCCGGAAUUAUUGGGCGUAAAGCGCGCGUAGGUGGCCUCGUAAGUCCGAUGUGAAAGUCAAAGGCUCAACCUUUGAAAGCCGGUGGAUACUGCGGGGCUAGAGUCCGGAAGAGGCGAGUGGAAUUCCUGGUGUAGCGGUGGAAUGCGCAGAUAUCAGGAGGAACACCAAUAGCGAAGGCAGCUCGCUGGGACGGUACUGACACUGAGGCGCGAAAGCGUGGGGAGCGAACAGG
rnacentral:misc_RNA from 1 species